UAGGGAGGCAGCAGUGGGGAAUCUUAGACAAUGGGCGCAAGCCUGAUCUAGCCAUGCCGCGUGAGUGACGAAGGCCUUAGGGUCGUAAAGCUCUUUCGCCAGAGAUGAUAAUGACAGUAUCUGGUAAAGAAACCCCGGCUAACUCCGUGCCAGCAGCCGCGGUAAUACGGAGGGGGUUAGCGUUGUUCGGAAUUACUGGGCGUAAAGCGUACGUAGGCGGAUUGGAAAGUAUGGGGUGAAAUCCCAGGGCUCAACCCUGGAACUGCCCUGUAAACUAUCAGUCUAGAGUUCGAGAGAGGUGAGUGGAAUUCCAAGUGUAGAGGUGAAAUUCGUAGAUAUUUGGAGGAACACCAGUGGCGAAGGCGGCUCACUGGCUCGAUACUGACGCUCAGGUGCGAAAGCGUGGGGAGCAAACAGGAUUAGAUACCCUGGUAGUCCACGCCGUAAACGAUGUCGACUUGGAGGUUGUGCCCUUGAGGCGUGGCUUCCGGAGCUAACGCGUUAAGUCGACCGCCUGGGGAGUACGGCCGCAAGGUUAAAACUCAAAUGAAUUGACGGGGGCCCGCACAAGCGGUGGAGCAUGUGGUUUAAUUCGAUGCAACGCGAAGAACCUUACCUACUCUUGACAUCCAGAGAACUUAGCAGAGAUGCUUUGGUGCCUUCGGGAACUCUGAGACAGGUGCUGCAUGGCUGUCGUCAGCUCGUGUUGUGAAAUGUUGGGGUUAAGUCCCGCAACGAGCGCAACCCACAUCCUUAGUUGCCAGCAGUUCGGCUGGGCACUCUAGGGAAACUGCCCGUGAUAA
rnacentral:rRNA from 1 species